UGUUUUCCAUUCAAUACAAUUAUAGCAUGGAUAAUAAACGAUUAUCUUUGUAACAUGAAAUAUAAUAAUAACUAUUUUGUUACUGCCUCUAGGGCAUAUUUCCAAUAGUCUCCCACUUGCACUAGAGUCAAUAAUCUAGCAUCACAUCUAUAUGUGAUUUACAACGUAACAAAUUUAACACCCAUACAGUUCUAGUGUCAGUCAUGUUUAGCUCGUGGAAGAGGCUCUGCCAGCGGGUAUGCAACAUUCAGAUCCAUGUGCACUUUGCAAAUAUUUAUGUCCUCCUCCUCGAUGUAAUCGCGGAUGGCAUUGAAGCGUCGUUUAAUGUGUCUGGUCCUCUUGUGAAAUCUUG
rnacentral:lncRNA from 1 species